AGUUUGUUUAAAGUUUAGCUCAUAUAUGUGAGUUUUUUCAUAGUUUUUCAAAAUUAGUGUUAUAUUUAAUAUUUUUAACUAAAUAUUUUAGUAUAAAGUUUAAAUAUAAGAUUGAAGUGUGCAAUUUUUUUUUUUUUUUAUCUCAAUUUUAGAAUGAUAAGUGAAACAUAUCAUAAUUGUUUGCACAUUAAAGAAGCAUGUCCUGAUAUAAGUGCAAAAAUUUACCGAAUCGAUGCAUUGCGGCACUGUAUUGUUAUGAUAAACUGCCAUCAAGUUUUAAUUCAAUUAGUUGAACAAAUUUUCAAUCUGCAAUAUAUAUGGAACUACGAUGCCUAAAGUCUUAAAAGUCUUAUUCUGCAGUAGAUAUCCUGGGGAAAAAGACUGAGUUUGAAGAUUCAUAAUUUUAUUAUUAUAAAGUAAAUGAUGUAACAAGCUCUGCUAAUAAUGUUUUGGAUGAAGUAAUGUCAAAAUCUGUUCUAACAUUCUUAAAGAAAGCUGCAACUUAUGGAAAUAGAUCAUUUUGAAAAAACUUUAUUGAGUAGGGUAAUUAAAGAAACAUUAGUGUCACAUGGAGAAAAUAUCGGUUUGGUUGAUAAGUUGAAAGCCGAUUGUUUGAAGAGAAUAAUAGAAUAAAAAGCUUAAUAAAAUGGCAAAUAAAACUACUUUAUUAUGUUUUUGUAUACUUAAAUUGUAAAU